UGGGGAAUAUUGCACAAUGGGGGAAACCCUGAUGCAGCAACGCCGCGUGAGUGAUGACGGUCUUCGGAUUGUAAAGCUCUGUCUUCAGGGACGAUAAUGACGGUACCUGAGGAGGAAGCCACGGCUAACUACGUGCCAGCAGCCGCGGUAAUACGUAGGUGGCAAGCGUUGUCCGGAUUUACUGGGCGUAAAGGGAGCGUAGGUGGAUAUUUAAGUGGGAUGUGAAAUACUCGGGCUUAACCUGGGUGCUGCAUUCCAAACUGAAUAUCUAGAGUGCAGGAGAGGAAAGUAGAAUUCCUAGUGUAGCGGUGAAAUGCGUAGAGAUUAGGAAGAAUACCAGUGGCGAAGGCGACUUUCUGGACUGUAACUGACACUGAGGCUCGAAAGCGUGGGGAGCAAACAGGAUUAGAUACCUGGUAGUCCACGCCGUAAACGAUGAAUACUAGGUGUUGGGGGUUGUCAUGACCUCCGUGCCGCCGCUAACGC
rnacentral:rRNA from 1 species